GAUGAACGCUGGCGGCGUGCCUAAUACAUGCAAGUCGAGCGAACAGAUGAGGAGCUUGCUCCUCUGACGUUAGCGGCGGACGGGUGAGUAACACGUGGAUAACCUACCUAUAAUACUGGGAUAACUUCGGGAAACCGGAGCUAAUACCGGAUAAUAUAUUGAACCGCAUGGUUCAAUAGUGAAAGACGGUUUUGCUGUCACUUAUAGAUGGAUCCGCGCCGCAUUAGCUAGUUGGUAAGGUAACGGCUUACCAAGGCAACGAUGCGUAGCCGACCUGAGAGGGUGAUCGGCCACACUGGAACUGAGACACGGUCCAGACUCCUACGGGAGGCAGCAGUAGGGAAUCUUACGCAAUGGGCGAAAGCCUGACGGAGCAACGCCGCGUGAGUGAUGAAGGUCUUCGGAUCGUAAAACUCUGUUAUUAGGGAAGAACAAAUGUGUAAGUAACUAUGCACGUCUUGACGGUACCUAAUCAGAAAGCCACGGCUAACUACGUG
rnacentral:rRNA from 1 species